GACGACGCUGGCGGCAUGCCUAACACAUGCAAGUCGAACGGUAAGGCCCCUUCGGGGGUACACGAGUGGCGAACGGGUGAGUAACACGCGGGUAACCUACCUUCUAUCGGGGAAUAGCUGAGGGAAACUUCAGGUAAUACCGCAUAAUGUGCCUUUUCAUAAGAAGAGGUACCAAAACUCCGGUGAUAGAAGAUGGGCCCGCGGAAGAUUAGCUUGUUGGUGGGGUAACGGCCUACCAAGGCAACGAUCUUUAGCUGGUCUGAGAGGACGAUCAGCCACACUGGAACUGAGACACGGUCCAGACUCCUACGGGAGGCAGCAGUGGGGAAUCUUGCGCAAUGGGCGAAAGCCUGACGCAGCAAUGCCGCGUGAGGGAAGACGGUCUUAGGAUUGUAAACCUCUUUCAGCAGGGACGAAACAAGACGGUACCUGCAGAAGAAGCCCCGGCUAACUACGUG
rnacentral:rRNA from 1 species